UCCGUCAUUCGUACAUUCGAUAUUGACAAUUAACAUUUCACGCCAAAUAUCCGUUGAGAGAACUCAGUGCAUACUGAAUAGGUAUUUAUUUAACAGUUAUCUAGUUGUUACCAGUGUCUUAAAAAGGUUAUUGAUUUAAAUACAUCAGUACAUCACUUACCUGAUGGUGUAUUGUAGCUAUACCUUUUACCAGUUGUACCUAUAUUGGUCGUUUUGUGUUUUUAAAUUUUUUUAAAUGAGCCAUGCUUUUCGUUUAAAAAGCUUGAAUAUUUUGAUGAUCACAGUACGUUUCAAGCAGUGUUAUUCAUUUAACAAUUAAUAUUUAGUGGGUAGAAGUGUUUUCAAAAGGUUUAUGAUUGAACAAUAUCACUUUGCUGUAUCUACCUGAUGGUGUAUUGUAGCUAUACUCUAUACUUAUAUUGGUUGUUUUGUGUUUUCAAAUCGUUUUAAAUGAGCCAUGCUUUUUGUUUAAAAAGCUUGAAUAUUUUGAUGAUCACAGUAUGUUUCAAGCAGUGUUAUUCAUUUAACAAUUAAUAUUUAGUGGGUAGAAGUGUUUUCAAAAGGUUUAUGAUUGAACAAUAUCACUUUGCUGUAUCUACCUGAUGGUGUAUUGUAGCUAUACUCUAUACUUAUAUUGGUUGUUUUGUGUUUUCAAAUCGUUUUAAAUGAGCCAUGCUUUUUGUUUAAAAAGCUUGAAUAUUUUGAUGAUCACAGUAUGUUUCAAGCAGUGUUAUUCAUUUAACAAAUAUUUAGUGGGUAGAAGUGUUUUCAAAAGGUUUAUGAUUAAACUACACCACUUUGCUGUAUCUACCUGAUGGUGUAUUGUAACUAGAUAUUUUUGUAAGUUAAUUUUUAAAAAUGCUUUGUUGUUUAUGUAAAUUUAAUGCUGAUAAUUGGAAAUCUUUAGUUUAUCAUUUUAAAAUUUUUCAUUUACUUAAAACUGAUAGUAAUUAUACAUGUUGUGAAGGGACUUGUACACAAUCUUUUCUAUGCUUAGCUUCAUUUAAACGACAUAUUCAACAUAAACAUUUCCCUGAAAACAUCCCAUCAAAUAAUCAACCACAAGACCAAUCAUAUGUCAAUUCUUCAUUACUACCACACAAUAUUGAAAACUUAAUUGAUGAUAAUGUUUUAACUGAUAAUUUAACUAAUAAUUAGUGUUGGCCAACGAUAUAAUUUUCAAUAUCGAUAUCGUAUUUUUUCCCCCGAUAUCGUAUUGCGAUAUCAGAAAAAUACCGAUAUCGAUAUUGAAGCAUAUUAAAAAUUUAAAACAUUAAAAGUGUAGAAUGCAUAUUAUAUUACGAGUGUAUUGAAAGUAUAUUAAAAGUAUAGAAUACAUAUUGUUUUAAUAUUAUAUUAUGAGUGUAAAUUAAUUAUUAAUUAACAAUUAUAUAUUAUUUUUUAAAUUUCUUCUUCGAGCAGUUUUUCCAUCAAUGUUUCAGAACUUGGGUUCGAUUUGAAAUAUGAAUUCAAAAAUAACAGUUGAUUGAGUCGUUCAGGAGAUAAUCUAUUUCUUUUCUUGGAAAUGAUUGUUCCAGCUUCGCUAAAUAACCGUUCACAGGGAACACUAGUGGCCACUAUACUUAAGUACUUUUUGGCUAGUAAUGAUACAGCUGAGUAUUUAGAUUCGUUUUCUUUCCAUCAAUUUAAAGGAUCUUGAUCGUAGGGAACUUUGAUUUUCAAAUUUUUAUACUCUUCAAGUUGUUUCAUCUUAGGACUUUGAGUUACCGAAUAGUCGUCUUCGUCAUCAUCAUCGCUAUCUAUCAUUAAUAGUGUUGGCCAACGAUAUAAUUUUCAAUAUCGAUUGAUUAAUAUCGCCUCGUAUCAUAAUCUACGUUUUUAUCUUUAUUAUAUCUGUCAGAUCUGUCCAUUCAUUAAUCAAAAUUAUUGAAAAAAUACCCACGAUAUCGUUAUCGUAUCGAAUUAUCGAUAUCGUUGGCCAACACUACUAAUAAUACAUUUGAUUUUGAUCUAGUUAGUAAAUCUCUAUAUAAAUCUGCAAUAGAAUUUGUUGUAAACUUGCAUAAUAAUAAUAAUUUUACUAGAGCAGACAUUACCAAUAUUCAAACUGGUAUAUUAAAUAAAAUAAUUAAACCAAUUGUAUCCAUGCUGAAGAAUGUAGUAGAUGAUGAAAUUAAAGAACCAAUUAAGGUUGCUAAAUUUCAUAGACUUGCUUCUGUUAUAGAAAAUCCUUUUUUAUAUUGUAACACUGAGUAUCGCUUAGUAAAUUGGCUUAUAAAGAAUGAACUGUUAUUUAAAAUAAAUUAAUUUACCAUUAAUAAUGAAAUUUUCCCUGUACACUACAAUGGUGAAUCUGUCUAUAAUGAAAAAAUCACUAAAGGUGUUCUCUUACCUUUACAAUUUCAGUUUAAAAAAUUCUUUGAAAAUGGAGAUAAUUUUAAAGAACAGUAUACUCGGUUAAAUUACUAUAAAAACAAUCAAAGUACUUCUAUUGAACAUUUUGUUCAAGGAAGUCUUUGGCAACAAAAAGUUUCUCUAUUUUCUAAUGAAAAGAUAAUAUUUCCAUUUUUUUUAUACAUGGAUGAAUUUGAAAUAAAUAAUCCCUUAGGCUCACAUGCUACAUUUCAGUCAAUUUCAGCUCUAUAUUAUAGUUUUCCAUUAUCAGAAAACAAUUCAAAAUUAUCAACUAUAUUUUUAGCUGCACUAGUAAAACACAUUGAUAUUAAAUCAUUUGGUAAUGAUAAAUGUUUACAAAGUCUAGUAAACGAAAUAAAUAUACUUGAAAAUGAAGGGAUAGAUAUUAAAACUCAAGAUGGUGAUUUUCAUGUUAAUUUUGUCCUAGGCAUAGUUCUUGGAGAUAAUUUGGGUCUAAAUAGCUUAUUAGAAUUUAGUAAAUCUUUCUCUGCAAACUUUUUUGUCGUUUUUGUAAAGCUUCUAAAGCUUCAACUAUAACAAUGCUUGAAGAAGAUUUGAGUUUUUUGCGCAAUGCACACAAUUAUUCUGAUGAUGUUACUAGUAUGAAUUUUGCAGAGACAGGGGUUUAUCAAGAAUCAUUAUUAAAUCAAGUAACUGGGUUCCACGUCACACAAAAUUUUUCUAUAGAUAUAAUGCAUGAUUUGUUUGAGGGUGUUUGUCACUAUGAUUUGUGUAACAUAAUCAAGUAUUAUAUUACUGCUAAAUUGUUUUCACUUGAAACUUUAAACAAUCGUAAAAUGAAUUUUAAUUAUGGACCCAUUGAAAUAGGUAACAUUUCACCUCCCAUAAAAAUGAUUCAUUUAGAAAAAAAAACAUUUAAAAAUGUCAGCUAGGGAAGUUAUGACCUUUGUUCAUUUUUUUCCCCUUAUGGUAGGAGAUCUUAUCCCUGAAAAUGAUGAAGUUUGGAACCUUUUUCUUUUAUUAAUUCAAAUUAUAGACAUUCUUCUAUCAUAUACCUUUACUGAUAGUGCGAUUUCCCAUCUUAAAAAAUUAAUUUCUUAUCAUAAUUCUAUGUAUAUAACACUUUUCAAUGACACCUUAAAACCGAAACAUCACUUUUUGAUCCACUAUCCAACAAUAAUAACGAAUUCAGGCCCGGCCCUCCUAGACAUUAUUGGUGUUUUCGUUACGAAGGUAAACAUAAAGAAUUAAAGAUGUAUGCUAGGUCAACAACUUCCAGGAAAAAUAUUACGCUAACUUUAGCAAAAAAAAUGCAAUUAAAAUUUGCCCAUAGUCUUAUGAUAUUAUCUGAUAAAAAAAUUAUUGUGAAUGAUAAACACAAAAUUCAAAGUAAUUAUACAGAAAAUAUAAAUAAUGAACUCAAUGUAAUUGCGUUAGACUAUGUCUGUUAUACUGAGCUAAAAUUAAACGGAAUUGUGUACAAAGCCGGUUAUUUUUUAACAAAAAAUUGUAAUAAAAUAUGUUUAUUUAAAAUAUGUGAAAUGUUGUUAGUUAAUAGACAAGAUGGUAAAGUUUAUGUUUUGGCUAAUGAAAUAAAGUUAAACGAUUUUAACUCUCAUUAUGAAUCUUUUAGUGUAGAUUAUAGCGAAGAAGUGGUUAAUCAUGGUUUUAUUUGUAAUGUAGAUGAAUUUAGUGGACCUCCAAUAAAUAUUACUAAAAUAUCAUCAGGUCAAAAAAUGAUCCGUCUAAAAGAGUUUUAUUAAUUAAUUACAUUUAUUGAAUAUAAUUAUUUGGGUAUAUUAUUUAUUUUUAUUAAAUAACUAUGCUUUAAACAAAUUAUAAAUGUAUUAUAUUUAAAAUUGAAAUGUUGUAUUUAGAGCUGUACAUUAUUUUUAUUUUUUUUAAAUUAUAGAUUCUGUGUU